AGGUUGUAUUGAAUAAUGCUACAGUGGAAACUGACAAUCCUGAUUUACGGGACCGUGCAUACAUUUAUUGGCGUCUUUUAUCAACUGAUCCUGAGGCUGCUAAGGAUGUUGUGUUAGCUGAGAAACCUGUGAUCAGUGAUGAUUCAAAUAAAUUAGAUUCAUCCCUUCUUGAUGAGCUUCUUGCCAACAUAGCUACGCUAUCUUCUGUCUAUCACAAACCUCCUGAUGCUUUUGUAACCCGAACAAAGACUGCAACUCCAAGAACUGAAGAUGAUGACUACCCUGAUGGAAGUGAUACCAAGUAUUCUGAAACACUUUCAAAUGCUGCCAAUGGUGGUGCAUCACCACCAACCAGUUCAAGUAGCAUCCCAUAUGCUGCUGCUAGCCAGCCAGCUCCUGCCCCUGCCCAUCAGCUCCUCCAGA